CAGUGAAGGAAGCAUAUAGUAAUGUGCAAAAAAAUUGAAUUGGGUUUCUAUACCUGCCCUCUCUAAUGCCAUUUGGCUUUAAUUUGGAGGCAUGGUUCCACAGCAAAACA